UAAUACUGUCUGGUUAUGUCGC
rnacentral:miRNA from 1 species